rnacentral:rRNA from 1 species
AUUGAACGCUGGCGGCAUGCCUUACACAUGCAAGUCGAACGGCAGCACGGGAGCAAUCCUGGUGGCGAGUGGCGAACGGGUGAGUAAUAUAUCGGAACGUGCCCAGUCGUGGGGAUAACGUAGCGAAAGCUACGCUAAUACCGCAUACGAUCUAUGGAUGAAAGCGGGGGAUCGCAAGACCUCGCGCGAUUGGAGCGGCCGAUAUCAGAUUAGGUAGUUGGUGAGGUAAAGGCUCACCAAGCCGACGAUCUGUAGCUGGUCUGAGAGGACGACCAGCCACACUGGGACUGAGACACGGCCCAGACUCCUACGGGAGGCAGCAGUGGGGAAUUUUGGACAAUGGGCGCAAGCCUGAUCCAGCAAUGCCGCGU